rnacentral:rRNA from 1 species
GACGAACGCUGGCGGCGCGCUUAACACAUGCAAGUCGAGCGGUAAGGCCCUUUCGGGGGUACGACGAGCGGCGAACGGGUGAGUAACACGUGGGUGACCUGCCCUCCAGCUCUGGGAUAAGCCUGGGAAACCGGGGUACUAAUACCGGAUAUGACUCCAUGACGCAUGUUGUGGGGUGGAAAGCCUUGUGCGGCUGAGGAUGGGCCCGCGGCCUAUCAGCUUGUUGGUGGGGUGAUGGCCUACCAAGGCGACGACGGGUAGCCGGCCUGAGAGGGCGGACCGG